rnacentral:lncRNA from 1 species
AGUUAUUGACUUGGCAGCCAGAGAACUCACUUCCCUUGCUACUCCUGGUCAAGGUACCUUAACUAUGCUAUGUUCAUCAGUCAUUAAGUUGUUUACGGUUCACUUAAUUGCCUGAAACUUCAUCUUUUUUUAUUGCAGUUGACCAAACCCAACUGGAACGUGCUAAAGCAUUUGCAAAAUCAGCUAUCUUGAAGAACCUGGAAUCAAAGGUAUGUGUACACAUGUGAAAUUUUUUAUAAUCAUGGCUGAUGCUCCACUAACAAUUAAACUCACAGGCAUCAACAACUGAAGACAUGGGGCGCCAAGCAUUGGCAUUUGGUGAAAGGUGCACUAUUUCAACAUUUCUGCUGAACCUUAAUGUUUUUGCUCGUGCCUAUGGUUCUAUUCCUUGCAAGGUCGAGAAAAACACAUUCUGCACUGGACACAUUGUAGAAAUUAUAGGCUCAGGGAUGGUGAUGUCUACUUUAAAGUUUCAGUUGGUUGAUAGAAUAAUUAAUGGCUUGAUGUUCACAGUGCCAUUUUAAUUUAUUGCACAUAUUGUAAUCAUAUUAGAAACCAGGGAGCCCUCUAUCUUUAGAUAUCACUGUUGGCUGCUGGUAAUUGGGUUACUGUUUCUCUGGAAGAUGAUGCCUACUUGUGUUUUCUAUCGGUAUGACAAGUGAUAUCUAGAGGAAAGCAUGUUUCUUACGUGGCUUAUUUAGCCAACUCUACCGUGCUAGCAGAAAUUGUAAGUACAGUUAGCAAAUGGAAACAAAAUAUAGUUGUUGAUGUUCACAAGAUCUAUAGUGACUUACUGAGUUAGGAAGAUCUCUUUGCCGCCACAGUAUUCUUGAAGUUUUUUGGGUGCUUAUCUGUAUCUUGAAGUGUGUAAUGCCUUGUAACAACAUAAUGGACAAGCUACCGUUUGCUUAAUAUGUGCUCUUACAAUAUCAUGGACUCGCAAGGCACAUCCCAUUUUUGCAAGCAAGUAAACUGACAUGCAUAACCAAUGAAUGUUAUAUAUACAAGUUGAUAAGAAAAAGAGUUCCACAUAUGGUAUCUUAUUUCUGUAUCCCUGGAAUCUGUGUAAUGUUUGCCAUGUAAAACCUUGCAGGAAACCUGUGGAGCAGCUUCUUAAGGCUGUUGAUGCUAUAACUCUGGCAGAUGUAUCAACUGUUGCUGAGAAGAUCAUCUCGUCACCAUUGACAAUGGCAUCUCAUGGAAAUGGUGAGCUCCGUGUUACCUACCGAGUCAUCUAUACCUAAUGUGUAUGAGUGCACUGUUUCUCAUUCAGUCCCCUUUGUUGUGCAGUUCUCAAUGUACCAGCCUACGAGACAGUGCGUGGCAAGUUCAGCUCGAAAUGAGGAGGCUUCUGAACAAGUUAACUGUUCAUAUUUAUUUUUCUCCAAGACCUGGUCACAUUUUUCACAAGAAAAAUAAGAUGCAUACAAUUUUGGUUAUUAACUCCUCUACUGUGGGAUAACUUUGGGAUCUUAUUUUUUUUUCCUCGCAAAACAUGUAUCCACCUGAAUUUGUUGGUGUGAUGUUCUCAAGAGAUAUGUUCCUGUAAAUUCAGUGAAAUCAUAUAUGGGUGGCCCUCUUUCAGUGGCAGUCCGGAAGGGUGUACAAAAUGUUCCUCCACUUUUUUGGGUUAAAGUCGAUGAAACCAGUGUCGGGGCACAGAAAUGAAUAAAGAUUCAAUAUGACGUGAAAUUUUAGAUUUGCUUUGCUCUUUUUUU